AGGACACAUUCAGAUGAAAUCUG
rnacentral:piRNA from 1 species